rnacentral:lncRNA from 10 species
AGAAUGGAGAUGCAGUAGCCCUCACCGGGCUCUGAACUAGGGGAGUGUGGAUUCUCAAAGAAUUCAUGAAAAUGUUCACAAUGGAGUCUUCUUAUGCAUCUGUUUUCCCUAGAGCAUUCAAUUCAAGCUCAUGAAAUAUCAGGUUUUACUUAAACAUUAUCAGAGAGGUUAUGAAGCCUUCCUGAAUGCUCAUUCAAGGUUGUACAAGAAGCAUGGCACCAGCAUCUGCAUCUGAUGAGGACCUCAGGGUGCUUCCACUUGUGGCGGAAGAAGGGGAGCCAGCAUGUGCAGAUACCACACGGCGAGAGAUGAAGGAAGAGAAAGAGGAGGAAGGUUCCAGGCUCUUUUUAACAAUCAGACCUCACAGGAACUAAUAGUGUGAGAAGAUGUUUAACAUAUUCUAAUAAGAUAUUCCUAAUAAACUGCCAUGAGAUAACUGCUGUAU